UCGAGAAAGCAUAAAGCUAAUAUCCAGAGUUGCAAACAAGUAAAUCAAAACUGCCUGCAAAUAUUUAUGGCAUGUUUACUUACUUGAAACUCAACUUGAAAAAUCAUGCCAGUAACUAAACUUGAAAGUGGGUCAAACCCCUGUUCAACCACAAACAUCAUGCAGGAAAAAAAACCUACUUAGGAUUGUUUGUCAUGAGAGAACUGCCGAACAGACGAUUUGCAUCUCACUGAUAAAAAUAUGGAAUUGUCAGAGGACCCAUGCUGCCCAUUCCAUAUGGAGCCCUUGACCUGGAUUGAUCAAUUGUUUGUCUACAAAGUACCUCACCCGGAUGAAUGUUUUAACGAAGUUUGCUGUGAAAUAAAGGCUGACAACAGAUAUAAGGUGAAGGAUGAUGUCGGGAACGUUCUUUUUAGUAUUCUUGAGGACCUUGAUUAUUGUAGCAGGCAUCUUUAUCCAGGUCGCUCCUUCGUAAUGAAUGUCAUUAAUGAAUAUAAUAAAGAGGUCAUCAGAAUGGUGCACCCGUUUGUUUGCAGCAGCAGCUGCGGAAGACAUGAGCUGGAGGUUCAGUCACCACCAGGCUUUGUCAUCGGACAUGUUCAACAAAACUGGUCUGUUUGCCUGCCUAAAUUCACAGUUGAGAAUAAACAAGGUGAACCGGAAGUUAAGAUUGUGGGACCGUUUGUACCUCUUACCUGCUGCAUGGAUCAGAACUUUGAGCUGGUGUCUUUGAAUGGGGCAGUGACAGACGGAGCAUUUGGCACGAUCGUCAAACCUUUCUCAUGCAGUGUACUAAAUACAGGUGCAGAUUUUGUGCUGAGGUUUCCAAGCAACCUGGAUGCCAAAUUGAAAGCCACACUAUUGGGGGCCUGCAUACUUAUUGACUUUGUGUAUUAUGAUAAGCCAAAACAACCAUUACUAAAUAUAAUAAGCUGUUUUACCAAUCCUCUAUCUGCGAUCAUGUAGUCAAGAUGCCGGAAGAAGAUAACAAGUUCAAUGGAUUUUACUCCCACAAAUCAUGAAAAGCAUCACGGGGCAUAGGAAAAAGGUGGAUGCAUACAAGACAAGGGGCAAACACAGGCAACUAAAUGAAACACGGGUGCCACUUCUUAGAAACCAAGAAUGUUUUCUGGUAACACAUCAUUUUCCGUUAUGGAUACUGUAGGCGUAUACUUCAGAAAAAAAGACCAAAGGAAGACAAAUAUCUGCAGACUGCUUGCCAAAUUAUCCUCCAAUAAAGGCUGAAGAGAAAAGAAUGAUUGUUACUGUGCCAAAAAUUGUGUUUUAAUAUUGCAUCUUUAAACUAUUUUAGUAAACUCAAAUGACACAUUAUCACUAGUUAUUUCAGUUUGUGGGACUCUCUUAUAGAAAGGUGCCAUUGAGAUUGCAUGUGUUCUCGGGAAGUGAAGCAAACACAGCAGUGUAACCACAAACCACUAACUGCUUCUUAGUAAGUGCUGGUGAUGAGAAAAACUACCCCAAAGGGCACUCUGAGUUGUUCGUCAUGGAAAAUCCAUACAGAAUGCUUCUACUUAAAAAUGAUUCUCUGCUGUCUUGAUGAGUAAAAUUAAUUGCACAGACAUGUAUAUUUUCUGCUUCUUUUUAAAAAAAAAAAGCAUUUCAUUGCACAAUAAACAUCUGGAAAUUCUG